AUAUCAGUCAUGCAUAGCAUAUCAAUAAGCGGAGGAAAAGAAACUAACAAGGAUUCCCUUAGUAACGGCGAGUGAAGCGGGAAGAGCUCAAAUUUGAAAUCUUCAAGGUUUUACCUUGACGAAUUGUAGUUUAAAGAAGUGUUUUCUGUUGAAGUUUUGGUAAAAGUUCUUUGGAAUAGGACAUCAUAGAGGGUGAGAAUCCCGUAUUUGACCAUUACUUUCAGCUUUGUGAUACACUUUCAAAGAGUCGGAUUGUUUGGGAAUGCAGUCCAAAAUGGGUGGUAAAUUUCAUCUAAAGCUAAAUAUUGGCGAGAGACCGAUAGCGAACAAGUACCGUGAGGGAAAGAUGAAAAGAACUUUGAAAAGAGAGUUAAACAGUACGUGAAAUUGUCAAAAGGGAAGCGUUUGACACCAGUGUUGUUUUCUCGAAAAUCAAUUAAAAAGAGUUGGAUUUUGUGUUGUAUUGACUUUAUCAGCUUUCUUCACUCUUUUCCAGCUUUUUUUAAUGCACUUUUCGUUUAACCAGUCAACAUCAGUUUCUUUUGUUGUAAAAAGGUCAUUGGAAGGUGGCUUUCUCUUCGGAGAAAGUGUUUAUAGCCUUUGACUCAUGCAAUCGGAGAGACUGAGGUCUGCAGCGUAGAUCCUUCGGGGUUAGAUACAUUUGUGCUAAGUUAUAGCUUUUCAUAGACAACUUGUUGACUAUGUUUAGUCUUGUAGCUUACUCGCUUAUGCUAUUUUACCUACGCUUAGGAUGUUGAACUCUAUCACACACAG
rnacentral:rRNA from 1 species